AGUUGUUACAUUAUUGCAGCUCGAUGAUUCUAAAUAUUUUUUUUGCCAAAAUAUUCACAGCAGCAAAGAGCUUGAUCAUUUUUUUUGCCAAUCUUCUGCUCUACUUUUCUUGCUACUUUGAGAAAAAAGCUCUAGAGGAAAGACCAAAAUCUCUCAAGGGAGAGGACACAGAGAGGCAGAUGACUGGAGAAAUGUGUGCUAAGGUGAAGCUGGCACAAAAGCAGCUUGCCCUCUGUCACUUCAGGCUGCUGCUGGGGCUAGAUCUGCCUCAACAGCACCAUAUGGCUUUUGACAGGAAGUCAAACCGGCGCCCGGCCCCGAACAAAAUCAUAACCCAGCAUUCCCCUCGGAUGGCAUCUCUGCUGCCUACUCCACAAGAAGAGGUCCAUCACCUGUUGGGGAAAUUCAGACGGCUUAAAAUGUCUUCAACUUAACACUUUGAUUUCAGAGGCUCUGACGGAGUGGCUUAUAGAGGAGCUAAAGUCACUUGGUUUUGAAAUUCUUGGGAAGCCUUUGAGCCAAUUCAGCUCAGUGACACUGAAGCCUCAGGGAGGCCAGAGUGAAGAGGAGACUGAGGACGAGGAAGAGGACAACAAAACUACCUUUUGGUUUUUGUGUGUUUUACAACAUGCAAAUUUCUUUCAACUAUUAUUUAUUGCCCUGGUUAUUGUCCCCUGUGUUUUGCAUGAUGGUUACCGGCUACAAUCAUAUUUAAUUUUGGAAAAUAACAAUACAUGUCACUAGGUGGCACUUUCGAUGUUGUUAUUCAGUUCAGUCCUCAUGGAAAUGAUUCAAGACGAAAAAAAGAAAACAUGGAAUAAACUAAGAAAGCUAAGUAUGCAAAUGUGGGUAAAUAAAAUGUAUUACAUUACUUUUGUAUCA